AACGAACGCUGGCGGCGUGCCUAACACAUGCAAGUCGUGCGAGAAAGUUUCCUUCGGGAAGCGAGUAAAGCGGCGCACGGGUGAGUAACACGUAGGUAACCUACCUUUCAGUCCGGAAUAACCAGCUGAAAAGCUGGCUAAUGCCGGGUAAGACCACGACCUCUACGGGGGCCGCGGCCAAAGGCGGCCUCUUCAUGAAAGCUGAUGCUGAGAGAUGGGCCUGCGCACCAUUAGCUGGUUGGUGAGGUAAUAGCUCACCAAGGCUUUGAUGGUUAGCUGGUCUGAGAGGAUGACCAGCCACACUGGGACUGAGACACGGCCCAGACUCCUACGGGAGGCAGCAGUGGGGAAUAUUGCGCAAGUAGGGGAAACCCUGACGCAGCGACGCCGCGUGGGUGA
rnacentral:rRNA from 1 species